rnacentral:lncRNA from 1 species
AAAUGAUUAAAAUUGUCUUGUAUUUUUCAGCUUGAGAGGUGGAUAACCGUAUGAUCAAAUAUGACAACAUUUGAUCCAUAGAUCGAAGGGAUCAGGUAUCUGAUCCUUUGGCACAAUUCUAAAUGAUUCUAGCAACUUCAUGAAUGUGUCUUUUGGGUUGGGCUCUCGUGCAAUUAGGCAUCCAAUCUUUUGGGAAUUCGCUCGACCCAAAACAGUUUUCUCCAAAGACUUUGCUAUUACUUAGUAAUGUGAGGGUUGAGAUUGUCGGAUCGUCUCAUUUGCCAUUUUUUUCUUUCCGAUUAUUUGUAAUCAUAGAUGUUUAUGAAUAUUUUCUUUUUUUCCUUGUGUGUAUGAUUUUAUUUCAUCACUUAUCUUCUUGAAUAGUUUUGCAUAAUCAUUUUAGUCUCCAAUAAUUUUGUUUUGUCAUUCUAUGUCUUGAAUGAUUUUAUUUUAUAAUUAUGUGUUGCCAAUGAUUUUGUUUCAGAAUUAUAAUAUCUAAUGAUUUUGAUUCUUCAUUCUAUACAAUGAAUGAUUUUA